GUUCCCAUAAGAAGACCCUGCAACUCCACAGCGAGUGUGCCUGGCAAUGAUUGUACCACUGCUUGAGUGCCUACACAAGGAAAAGUGAAUCGCAGUAACAUGGGGACCUUCAGAGUUCUCAGAGGUUCUGCAGCAGAGAGAACAAAGAACUGGAUGCAUUUGAGGAUGAAAGUGGAAAAGAAAGGAGCAGGCCACGUAAGUUAAUGUAGAAUCUAAGGAUGUCCGUGUGUAAUUGAGUCAAUCUCUCUGAAUUAGAGACUGACAUUAGUUUAUACCUCUCUGGAGAUUCAUUCCCUUACUCUGGAAACCAAUAAAGAUUAAAUCUAUAUUUCAGAAGUCUCUCUGUGGACAGUGUUUUAGAGAUACCUCCAGCGAGGACUUUCCUGGUGAUCCAG
rnacentral:lncRNA from 1 species